rnacentral:misc_RNA from 1 species
AACCUAGCACACCUGCGGUGUGUACCUGCGGAAGGAUCAUUAACAAAUCCAUCAUUCGAUGACCCUACCUUGUGUGCACCUGUAAAAACUGCCCUUUGGAGUAAGGGUUGGUACUGGCUUUCGGUAAGAUAUCGGGCGUGCCAACUUUUGGUACAGGCUUUCGGUAAGAUACCGGGCGUGCCAACUUUUUCCAAAGGGUUUUUUUAUAAACGUCUUUUUGAACAAAUUAAAUUUUUUAAA